AGAGUGUAUCAACAUUUGUGGUUCUUGGGAAACAUGCAGGCCCUUGGCUUCAACCCCAGGCACUCUGGGAUUUGUUCGGGCUGGCACGGCCCCGGAGUCUUUGUUCCUCUACAGGCUUCCCAGGUAAUUCUGAUGCAGUCCGUGGUCGUUGUCCACGUGUUGAGCAUCACUGGCCCCCAGAGAGUAGAGUGCUGACGUAUAAACUUGGAGUAAUGUUGUAUAUAAGGCAUGGGAAGGGGAGACGGUGUGGAAAAGAAUUCCAGCUGAAAGAGCCAGAAUAAUGUUCUUUCUGUCUCUGAGGCUGAAAGAAGGAAUUUGCAGAAGAUAAAUUCAAAGCUGUUACAGAGACAAGCAGAGUGAAACUGCAAAUGCCAUGGAAUUUAUCACUGAAAAUUGUCACUUAAGUCACAGUUUUAUAGUCCUGUAAUUAUUUCUCCAAGGAAUUCAAUCCAGCUUAGUAUGUAAUUUUGCCUCAUAACAGUCUGUGAGAAGGGCCACUGUUCAGUUUAUGAAAUGCUAAAGGGAUACCAGAAAAGUUUUGUGAGUUGGUUGUUGGAUACAGAGCCAGGAACUGAUUGGGAUAUUCUUGAGUUUUCAGAUGUUAAUCUAAAAAUAACGUGACUGUGGUCUGUCUGAAAUUAAAAUCGAAAGUGACUCUAGGAUAUGAAUAUAUAUGUGCAUGUACAUGUGCAAGUUGCUUUCCAUGAAUGAACCACACCUGUAUCUGCUACCUCCUAACUAGGUUACUAACAGGAUGGAGACAGAAUGGAAUUAUAGAUAAAGUUGAGUGUAUGUUUGAUUUCUAAAUGGUUGGAAGAUUUCCUAUUUUGCAUUAUCUAAACUGGGUUUGUCUUCAGUUAGUAUGGCUAAUUCUUCAAAUAUUUAGGUAUCUGUUAUGUACCAGGAGUUAUUGUAGAUCUUGGGAGUAUAUUGGUAAAGAAAACAAAUUUUUCUCAUGGAGCUGACAUUCUGAUGGAAGAAGGGAGAUAGUGAAGUGUCAGGGCCAGUUGCCAAGGACAAAUGCUGAAUGUAGUAGAAAGCCAUUGAAAGUUUCAAGGAGGCAGAGUGAUGUGACUUGAUCAAGAUUUGACUACCAGUCUCAGGAAAGUAACACAACUAUCCUUCACCUAGUCCCAAAAUCUAGGUAUGUAUACAUACAAUAGGUACCCAAGUAUUUGAAGAAUUAAUUUGCUACGCCAAUUGAAGACAAACAUAUAAGUAAUUCAAAAUAGGAAAUCUUUCAACUAUUUACAAGUCCAAGAUAUUUCCUCCAAAGAUAAAUUAGUAUUUCAGAUUCACUUUAAGACUGAAACUGUCUUGUUCAGAGAUUCAGCAGUGUUCUUUUAUUUAAAUAAGCAUAGUAGAGAUUUAUUUCUUCUCAGGCUCAUAAUUGCUGGCCACCCUGAGAUUUGAGGGCAGUCUUCUUCCUAGUCCAUCCUUAUCUUCUCAACGUGUCUUUUUUUAUUCUUUCUGCUAUUGUCAGGAGAGUUUCCACUGUGGUCAUGUAUAGUUUCUGCUAUAACACCCUGACUAUGCUUUCUAUAUUUCAUAACUUGCAAGCUUUCUAGUGGUAUCAAUCAGACUUCCAUGCUAAAUAGCGAUUUAGUGGGUCUUCUUGUGGAAUGGCUGUCACCCUGUGCAAACCAGGUAUAAAUGUGUAUUCAGGUUUUAAGUGCUGAAUUGGUAUAUGACCUUUCUCAGGUGACCGACAAUUCUUUUCUCAAAAGAAGGACUUAAUGAAAAAGUUGAGUGCAUAAGCACGUUAUUACAUAUAUGUCCAGAGUAGAACUAUCAUUACAGGAAAAAUUAACACUCUCAGGUGCUAUGUACAUACAUAUUUUUAAUUACAUAUUUUAAUGCAUAUUGGGGAAAUUGGUGUUCUGUAAAAUUUUUAUGUUAGCAUAUAGAAAUUGACUGUCAGUAGUUUUACCUUGCUUCCAGGAUAGGCAUCUAGUUUGUGUAUAUUCUUUAUAUCAGAAAUACUUCGGUAAACAAAGACUCCUUGACUGGAAUUUUUUUGCAUUCUACAGCAGAGGUUUCAAACCUGGCUGUACAUUAGUAUCAUCUAAGGAACUUCUUGAUACUAAUAACCUGGAAAUUCCUCUCUCAGAUUCAUUUACAUUGAUCUAGGUGGAGUGGGAUUCUGCCAAGGUCCAGGUAUUAUAUUUUUGUUUUAAGUGCCCCCAAAUGAUUCUAAUGUGUAGCCAGGGUUAAGAUCUGUUGCUCUAGAGGCAGGUCAUAAGCAUACGUACAAACAUGUACAAUCAACCUCUUAAGCACUGUUUGAAAAUCAAGACCCAGAACUUUCAGAGUGUAGCCUUACUAUUGAUAGUGUGGACCUCGGACCAGCAGCCAUUAGCAUCACCUGGAAACUUGUUACAAGUAUAAAGAAUUACAGGGUCUCACCCUGACCCAUUGCAUGGGAUGAGAUCCCUAGGUAAUUCGUAUGUACUUUAAAGUUCAAGAAAAGGUGCUUAAGAUGUAGAUACAUACAUAUUCUCUGUACUAAAAAUGGAUGUUUAGAAUCUUAUACCUCAUACAUAAGAUUUUCAGAUUUCACUAGUCAGUGACAUUCACUUUAAAGCAUUUAGAAAAUAUUUCCAACAAGUAGGAACAAAGAGUUCUUAGGUAGUGAGUUUCUGGUGACAGAAAAUUACCGGAGGUUUCUGUCACCUAGACGGGGAGGGGUUGCUAUUGCCUGUCUUGGUUGGCUCUUGCUUAUUUUGUUAUGCUUAUGUGUUUUUUUCUUCCUUCCUGUUCCGUUCUAGUCCACUCUUCAUUGUGAGAUAUUUUUUCAUUGUGUUAUUUUUUACAGAUAAUGGUGAGGAUACUUGAGACACUGUUUGCCGAUAGGUGCCCCACACGUUAGAAUAUUUGGUAGAAGUAGGUUUAGAUCUUUCUAGGGGAAUGGAUAUGGACAGGAUUGAGAGUAAAUUCUGAUUGCCUUUGUUUUUUUAAUUGUAGUGUGAUAGUAACUUCAUAAAUUGGUUGUCCUCACAUAGCAACAAGAAUCAAGCUCUAAUUCAUAUUAAUCACAGUGAUAAAUAACACAAUAAAUAUUAAGAUUCAUAUAUUACAGGGAAUGGCCUGGUAUGAAUGUUCAGAGAAUACUCUAAAUUGCAAUAUAUCAAUUUUGAUACAGGAAUGAUUUUUAAUGUGUAGAUUUUUAUGAUAGAAGAUUCUAAAAAAACAUUCACCAAGACACCUUUUCUUCUGUUGGUGCUCCUUAAGUUUAGAAGUGUCUGAAGCUCUAAUAAAUAAUGUUUUUAAACAUAUAUGGUAUUGAAUCAGCCUCCUCUGCUUUUUUUAAUAGCCAAGUUUAAAGGAGGGAGCAUUUCUAAGUACAAUAAUUGGUUAAACGUCUUUUUUUCCUCCUGGGUUUCUUUUUAGGAACUACUGACAAUCAAAAACCUAUAGCCGACUUUGGGAUACGGCUUUAUUAUUCAGCAACUAAAAGAUGAGUUCUAAUUGGCAGACUUCUGGCACUGGCACUUGUCCUCCUGUUUCUAUAGAAACUGGGUUGGAAGUCAGAGCUGCACAAAGGGAAAGGGAAUUUCAACUUUUGCAAUUUGAUAAUAACAGAUCUGGGUAAGUACAAAAUGAGAAUCUCCUACAGUUCUGAGAAUCUAAGUUUGGUUGAGAAUUUAAUACUUUAUAACCAGUAAGCCUUGUGAUUUAGUUAAAGCUGCAGGCAACAGUGCCAACGGCCCACACCUGUUGAGAGCUGAGUAAAUCUGUAUGUAAAUCAGCAUUUCUGUUCUUUCUACGGUCCUUGUGCUGGACUCAGAAGUUAGGAACAAGUCUAAUGGCUUUUGUAAAAUCCUCUUGUCGUUCCACAGAGGAGUGACUUACAGGAAUAAAGACUUAACUGAAGUUUCUCCCUUUAACGAGAUGCUUAGUUGGCAUAGCGUAGUCAGUGAGAGAUCAUGUUACAGAGAAGGAAGUUUGACUGGAUUUUGUAUUAAUUAUAAUAAUGAUAAUCUUGUUUAAGAUACUGUGAGCAACUCCCAGAUUUAAAAAUCUGUGUAUAAGCUGUCAGCAACAGCCUUAUCGAUUUCUUUGACUAUCUUGUAGAACUUAUUAAAAAAAAUUAUGAUUGCCUAAAUAAUAUUUUCUCAAUUAGUGGGUAAAAAUUCUUUCAUGAGCUGUCCUUUUCCUCACAUAUAGUGCUAGGGUAUUAUGGACAUUGGGUAAUAAAAGGCUUGUAAAUUUUUUUGACUCAUUGAUAGUAAGAAAUGUGUUUUACAUCACCUAUAUUUUAUAUGAUUGUGUGUGUGUGUGUGUGUAUGAACUAAAAGUUUAAAAUAAAGUGAUGCACACUGUUUUUUAA